UCUUCGGUAGUAUAGUGGUUAGUAUUCCCGCCUGUCAUUGACAGAUACGCGGGCGACCGGGGUUCAAUUCCCCGCCGAAGAG
rnacentral:tRNA from 1 species